rnacentral:misc_RNA from 1 species
GAUGAAGAACGUAGCGAAAUGCGAUAAGUAAUGUGAAUUGCAGAAUUCAGUGAAUCAUCGAGUCUUUGAACGCACAUUGCGCCCCCUGGUAUUCCGGGGGGCAUGCCUGUCCGAGCGUCAUUGCCGCCCUCAAGCACGGCUUGUGUGUUGGGCCCCCGCCCCCCGGCUUCGGGGGGCGGGCCCGAAAGGCAGCGGCGGCACCGCGUCCGGUCCUCGAGCGUAUGGGGCUUCGUCACCCGCUCUGUAGGCCCGGCCGGCGCCCGCCGGCGACCCCAAUCAAUCUUUCCAGGUUGACCUCGGAUCAGGUAGGGAUACCCGCUGAACUUAAACAUAUCAUAAGCGGAGGA